AACCCAGUGUGAUUCGUCACACUAUCAUUACGUGAAUACAUAGCGUAAUGAAGCGAACCGGGGGAACUGAAACAUCUAAGUACCCCGAGGAAAAGAAAUCAACCGAGAUUCCCCCAGUAGCGGCGAGCGAACGGGGAGCAGCCCAGAGUCUGAAUCAGCUUGUGUGUUAGUGGAACGGUCUGGAAAGUCCGACGGUACAGGGUGAUAGUCCCGUACACCAAAAUGCACAGGUUGUGAACUCGAAGAGUAGGGCGGGACACGUGGUAUCCUGUCUGAAUAUGGGGGGACCAUCCUCCAAGGCUAAAUACUCCUGACUGACCGAUAGUGAACCAGUACCGUGAGGGAAAGGCGAAAAGAACCCCGGCGAGGGGAGUGAAAAAGAACCUGAAACCGUG
rnacentral:rRNA from 1 species